rnacentral:tRNA from 1 species
GGAGAGAUGGCUCAGUGGUUAAAGUCACUGGCUAAAGAGGACCCAGGUUCAAUUCCUAGUGUCUCCG